rnacentral:rRNA from 1 species
UACAGAGGGUGCAAACGUUGUUCGGAUUUACUGGGCGUAAAGCGCGUGUAGGCGGCUUUGCAAGUCGGAUGUGAAAUCCCACGGCUCAACCGUGGAAGUGCAUCCGAAACUGCAUCGCUCGAGUCUCGGAGAGGAAGGUGGAAUGCUUGGUGUAGAGGUGAAAUUCGUAGAUAUGUGGAGGAACACCGAUGGCGAAGGCAGCCCCCUGGGAUAACACUGACGCUCAUGCACGAAAGCGUGGGGAGCAAACAGG